UCAGUUUUGCCAUUGGUAUAAUACUACUGUAUGAAAGCUAAACAUGGCUCCAAAUAAAGUGUACCUAGUUCUGGCUAUCGCUAUCUGUACUGUUUCUGGAAGGGACUUGUACUUAUUCAAACGAGAUGAAGUUGUAGGAGCAUCCUCCCAAAACGAUAAUAUUGCAUCCAGUGGAUUGAUUAAAAGAGAAGCAAUUACAGAAAAAGCAUAUGGAAUGGCUUCUGAAGUACCCGCUGGAUCAGUGACGAGGGACAAAAUCAUACAAGAAAAAAUGACCAAGGCUAGUGGAAUAUCCAGUAGAGUAGUAAAAAGAUGUUGUUGCCCAAAAAAGUGCGAAUCUAAAGCGGAAAAAAUGAGUGAACAUGAUGAAAUAACUGGUUCUUUGGCAUUCGACAUUGAGUCCUCAUCGGAGGUAUGCCAAAUUAUAAAAAAAUAUAUAAAUUCUUUAAAUAAAAUUAUAUUGUCAUGUUUAGAGCGGUCCCCGUAGUUUAGGCGGCGGUAAAGGAAAACCAGGUCAAGGAAAAGGCAAUGGGUGUUCUGGUGGUGGCUCUAAAAAGCCAGGUCCUUGUAAGCAAUAUUCCAAAACGAAAGAGAUUGACAUUGAACGCAGAUGUUCAAAUGAGAUGGGAAAAGAGGCUUCCAAAUGUUUAUGUCAAUGUUGAUAAUCAAUAAUUAUGUAUAUCUUAUAGUAUGCUUAUGAUACAGUAUUAGUUGGAUUAUAAAAACGCAAUAAACAUUUUUGCAUAUUUGUUUUUUUUUUUUGUUAUUUAUUAGUUCUUGUUCAUAUUAUGUGGGAUUUAUUGUUAUCAUACUAAUGAGUAGUAUGCUUUGAACUAUAUGUUAUAGAAUUAACUUACAUAAAUAAACUAUAGACUUUUUAC